AUGUUCUGGGCUUCUGUUGUCAGCCUUUUCCUGAUGUGGUGCUCAGGGUCUGACUCUCAGGCUGUUCUGCCUCAGCCCCCAUCAGUGACGGAGUCAGCAGGGAACACAGUAAAACUCUCCUGUGUAAUGAGCAGCGGGUUCAGUGUCAGCAGCCAUCAAAUGUACUGGUACCAACAGAAGGCUGGGAAUCCCCCAAGAUACAUCUUACGCUAUUAUUCGGACUCUGACAAGCACCAAGGUGUUGGGUUCCCCUCUCGUUUCUCCGCUUCCAAAGACACAUCCAGCAACACCUUCUACUUAACCAUCAGGAGAGUCCAGACAGAAGACGAGGCUGAUUAUUAUUGUGGCACACACUAUGGCAGUGGUUCGGAUGCUCAGCCUGUGCUCACUCAGCCCCCAUCGGCAUCAGUGUCACCAGGAAACACCGUGAAGUUCUCCUGUGUCAUGAGCACCGGGUUCAGCAUCAGUGGCUACUACGUGGUCUGGUACCAGCAGAAGCCUGGGAACCCCCCCAGAUACCUCUUAAAUUAUUAUUCAGAUUCCAACAAGGGCCAGGCGUCUGGACUCCCUUCUCGUUUCUCUGGGUCCAAAGACAUGUCUGAAAACACUGGCUAUUUAACCAUCGCGGGAGCCCUGGCAGAAGACGAGGCUGAUUAUUACUGUGCUACAGCUCAUGGUAGUGGUAGCAGCUGGAGGUAA